AACGAACGCUGGCGGCAGGCUUAACACAUGCAAGUCGAGCGCCCCGCAAGGGGAGCGGCAGACGGGUGAGUAACGCGUGGGAACGUGCCCUUUGGUUCGGAACAACUCCGGGAAACUGGAGCUAAUACCGGAUAAGCCCUUCGGGGGAAAGAUUUAUCGCCAAAGGAUCGGCCCGCGUCUGAUUAGCUAGUUGGUGAGGUAAUGGCUCACCAAGGCGACGAUCAGUAGCUGGUCUGAGAGGAUGAUCAGCCACACUGGGACUGAGACACGGCCCAGACUCCUACGGGAGGCAGCAGUGGGGAAUAUUGGACAAUGGGCGCAAGCCUGAUCCAGCCAUGCCGCGUGAGUGAUGAAGGCCUUAGGGUUGUAAAGCUCUUUUGUCCGGGGAGAUAAUGACUGUACCGGAAGAAUAAGCCCCGGCUAACUUCGUGCCAGCAGCCGCCGUAACAC
rnacentral:rRNA from 1 species